CAUUUUGUAUCAUUUCCUAUCAAUGUUAUACGCGUGGCUUGAUAUGUCAAAAAAAAUUACGUGUAAUUUAUAUGUGACUCCAGCUGUAUUUUAAAAAUUAACAUAUUAGAUUUUCCAUUACUGCAUCUGAAUACACGGCUUCUCCCUGUUUGUCUUCUCGCUCUCAAGUCUAGCUGCAGGUACUUUUUCUUUUCUCCUUUUUUCUUGGUUCUUCCUUCCCUUUGGGUCAUUAUUGUUAGCUUUGAAGUUUAAUGGUUCCUGAUAUCUUCUCUCUCAUUUUGUCAUAUUCUGAAGUUUAGUGGCUCUUGCAGGUUCUCUUCAUCUGUUUCUUCUCUGAUUUUUCCCAAAUCCCUUUCCCUUCUCUUUUUUUAUUUUGGGUUCUUUUCAUGAUUUUUAAUUUUGCAAUUGAAUCGGGUGGAAAAACUUUAUUUUUAAGCUCUAACCUUGCUGAGUUUUGAAAUUCCGUGCUUUCCUGGGUGCUUCACGUACUUGUUAAUUUUGCAAUUUCAGGGCUGUUAUAUGUUGCGAUACUUAAUAACUGUUCAUUUUAUCACCCAGAUAGUAUAAAUUUUAUCACCCAGAUAGUAAGGUAUUUAUAUCAUGCUACUCUUGAUCUUCUUUUGUCUUUGUUUUAUUCAUCUAACUCUCAUUGCCGCUUUGUAACUCUUUUUAUUUUUUAGAUGGUGUGUAGCUCUUUUUUCAUAAAGUUCAAUCUUUUAUGGACUCUCUCGAAUAUGGGUCUGCAGAUAAGUUAAACUGGAGAAGGAGCGCUAACAGACAUAGAGGCGAAGAGGAACAGAGAAGGAGAAACAUCACGAAUACACAUCCGUAAUCUAUAUAUGUAGUCCAGCAGAAUCCACCUUUCCAGAAAGUUUUCACAAAUUGAAGGUAAUCAGGUUUAGAAUUUGGGUUUGAGAAUUGCCCUAUGCUAUGUUUAUGCUUUGUGAAUGAUAUCUUCUGCUAAUUAUAGUAGAGCUUAAUUACCCCAAUUUUUGCCACAAACAACAACAACAACCCAGUAUAAUCCACUAGUGGGGUCUGGGGAGGGUAGUGUUUAUGCAGACCUUACCCCUACCAUGAGGUAGAGAGGCUGUUUCCAAUAGACCCUCGGCAUACUUCCCUCCAAGAACUCCCCACCUUGCUCUUGGGGUGACUCGAACUUACAACCUUUUGAUUAGAAGUGAAAGUUGCUUACCAUCAUAGCAACAACCCCUCUGAUAUUUGAAUAAUAGAAGUUUUGCAAUAACGAUACUUCCAAUGCUUCAUAAAUUACUAUGUUAUUUCUUUCUGUAGAACAUGGAUUUGAGUUGAUUUUCUUUCAUUCAAAAGUAGAAUUGGUUAGCGUAAAAUUUGUGGUAUCUGUGUAAGACAAACAUAAUACUUUGUGAUGAUUGUUAAUUAUUUUUUUUCCUUUGCGGGUAAACUGUCAAGUUUUAGACCAUCCACUAAGGGAACUUUUGUUGGCCGACUCUAUUAUUUGAGUACUUAUAUCUAAGAUGGAAAUAGUUUUCCCUUCAUGUAGGCAGCCGCAGGUCAACACUUGACUUGAUACUGGAAAGAAAAUUUUCACACGCAAUGACUCUUUGUGGGUUUUUCCUAAUGUGUGCUUAAAGCAAUAGUGAAGAUAAAGAAAUUAUUGCAAAUAUUUUGCUUAUAGCUUUAUCUUUAGAGCAAUGUAUUCCAAGUCUUUGGCCAAUUUUAUGACUCUAUUUAGUAUAUUGAAUCAAGAAUCAGGUUUUUUUUAUACGUUCUAACAAUAAUUUCGGUUAACUUUGUCUUACUUUUGCAGGUGGUAUUUCCUAUGAUGACGUCCACACUCUAGAGGAGAUAUAUUGUCUGUGUGAAAGUUAAACAAAUGCAAUUCAAUACUUAGUCAACUAGAAUAUAAUCUUAGGAAUUCCUGUUGUUAAGAAAACUAAUUAGAUACUCUUCAUUUUUCUGCAAAGGCUGCCUUGAUUGACAUUUCCAUUCUAUGGGAAAAACUUAUGCCGGGCAAUUAGGUAUGAUGUUUCUACAGAAAAGAACUUUAUUAGUGUUGACUAUGCUUAAGAUAAGUUCACACAUGAAAUCUAAGUUCUGCUUUCAUAUUGUAGACUUGGAGCAGAAAUUUAAUCAUCAAAUAUACAAAAUUUAAUCAAAAAGGACCAUACAAUUCUCAAAUUUUUGGCAUUUGCCCUAAUGAUUGAGGAGAUUGGUGCUUUUAAUUGGUUGUUCUCCAAGUGCCUUUUCCAUGGCAGGAGAAGAUCGAUAUAGUUAGAGUUUCAGUUUAAAAAAAUAAUAUUAUAAGAUUGGUAGGGAGAAUAAAGACAAAUGGGAACUUACAGCUUUUGUAGGUUCUUGAAUGGG
rnacentral:lncRNA from 1 species